GGCCUCUCCUGCCCGCCUCACUCCAGCCUCCACCGCCUAGGACUCCGCAGGUCUCCACUCGUAGACUCACGGGCCCUGACGAGACUACCCUCACCGGAAGUGCCGUCUAUCGGAGUGCACCGCCAAAAGUCCUCCGCAGCGCGCUGGGGCCACGCAAAAAAUGUUCCGGCGGCAGAGGGCAGCUACUGCCAGAAGAGGGAGCAAAAGAGCAAGUGGUGCCCAAGAGCGUAACUGCCUUCUAGCUCAUCAGCUCUGGGAGGAAAAUAUGAUUAACCGUGCUGGCAGGUGCGGGAAAGCUCUCUGGGUAAAGGAAACCGUACGUGCAGUCUGUAAGGCAUACUGGUGUCGUUGAACUAAGGCCAGAUUGAAGCCUGGGACGGAAGAUGGCAUCUGAUCCCCCGGAACUGAAGUUACAGAUGUUUGCUAUCUGCCGUGUGGAUGAUGGAAAUCAAAUCCGAACCCUCUGGAAUAGCAACAAGUGCUCUUAACUGCAUAGCCAUAGCUCUAACCGCUGCCCUGCCCCACCCCGCCCCACCCCACCCCACCUCCGGGAGCGCCAUGCAAGCUCUUUAAACCAAAAAUCAAAGGAUUCCCUCAAUAAAAGAAAAUAUAUUUAAAGCAUAUUUGUGAAUAGAAGUUAAGACACAUUCAAACUUUUCUCAGUCGUAACUUUGGCUCUGUAUAGUCUUAAGAAUUAAAACUAAGCUAGGGAGAUGAAA